rnacentral:rRNA from 1 species
CAGCAGCCGCGGGAAUACGAAGGGGGCUAGCGUUGCUCGGAAUGACUGGGCGUAAAGGGCGCGUAGGCGGCGAUCAAAGUCAGGCGUGAAAUUCCUGGGCUCAACCUGGGGGCUGCGCUUGAUACUUGGUUGCUUGAGUGGGGAAGAGGGUCGUGGAAUUCCCAGUGUAGAGGUGAAAUUCGUAGAUAUUGGGAAGAACACCGGUGGCGAAGGCGGCGACCUGGUCCUUGACUGACGCUGAGGCGCGAAAGCGUGGGGAGCAAACAGGAUUAGAGACCCGAGUAGUCCCUGUCUCUUAUAC